UACGGAAGGGGCGAGCGUUGUUCGGAAUCAUUGGGCGUAAAGGGCGCGUAGGUGGUCUUGUAUGUCUACCGUGAAAGCGUACGGCUCAACCGUAUUUUGUCGGUAGAAACUGCAGGACUUGAGGCUGGGAGGGGCUGGUGGAAUUCCCUGUGUAGCGGUGAAAUGCGUAGAGAUGGGGGAGAACACUCGUGGCGAAGGCGGCCAGCUAGACCAGUUCUGACACUGAGGCGCGACAGCGUGGGGAGCAAACAGG
rnacentral:rRNA from 1 species